CUGGAUGCUUGAACUCUUUAGAGUCGCAGGU
rnacentral:piRNA from 1 species